CCUACGGGGGGCUGCAGUAAGGAAUAUUGCGCAAUGGGCGACAGCCUGACGCAGCGACGCCGCGUGGGGGAUGAAGGUCUUCGGAUUGUAAACCCCUUUCGGCAGGGAAGAUGGAACGGGUAACCGUUCGGACGGUACCUGCAGAAGCAGCCACGGCUAACUUCGUGCCAGCAGCCGCGGUAAUACGAAGGUGGCAAGCGUUGUUCGGAUUGGCUGGGAGUACACGGAGGCGGGGCGGUAAGGUAAGCCCGAAAUCUCCGGGCCUAACCCGGAAAGUGCGGAGGGGACUGCUCGGCUAGAGGAUGGGAGAGGAGCGCGGAAUUCCCGGUGUAGCGGUGAAAUGCGUAGAGAUCGGGAGGAAGGCCGGUGGCGAAGGCGGCGCUCUGGAACAUUUCUGACGCUGAGGCUCGAAAGCGUGGGGAGCAAACAGGAUUAGAUACCCCAGUAGUC
rnacentral:rRNA from 1 species